ACCUUCUUCCAUAAAGAGAAAGUAAAUAGUGCACUUGUAUUCCACCUGAAGAGGAAGGCCCCUGACUGAUGCUGUUUGUCCAUUAGUCUGGCACAUUUGGGCUUGAUGCUUUGAAUAUCUCCAUUGAUCUUUUAAACAAGUGGAGAAAAUUGACACCUUGCUAAACUUGGUGGAGACUGAAUUUGGCUUUAUGUCUGUUCUAGUUCUUUUGGCCACAAGCAAGUGGAUGGUCUUCUUCAUGCUAUUGAAAAUCUUUUGAAGGCACAAAUGACAGUGAAUUGGCUGUUAUUGAUGCAAUGGCUGCAGCUGCACACUCUUUAAUAAUUUCUAUUGGGAUCUUCCAUGGGACUUUGCAGAUUGAGAAGGCCAUUGAGUUUAUCAGACUUGAAGACGACCAACAGGUUCUUUUUGGCCCCCUCCUCUUUUCUACACACGCACACACAUCUAUAUGUAGGUUUUCAUUCUCCUUUUUGGGUCCUGUGAAAAUCUGAG